rnacentral:sRNA from 1 species
UCUGCAGCGGCGCGCCGGGCUUCGCGCUCCGGUACUUCCUAUUUAACAGACAUUGUGUGGUGGGCUGGCACAAUCGCAAUGGCUGUUGGCCAGAUUGGAAACUUCCUGGCUUACACGGCGGUCCCCACGGUCCUGGUAACUCCCCUGGGCGCCCUUGGAGUACCGUUCGGGUGUAAUUCACUGUAGGAACCAUGUCAGAUGGUGUUCUGGAUAAAAAGCCUGUCUUCAACUUGGAAUCCCAGUAUUAAAGGAAGUAAUCCGGUCCAUACCUGAGCCUGGUAUGCCCUCCUCACGGACGUUCCUGUUUUCUGAUCGUCUUCAGCACAGACAUGAGUAGAGUGAGAAUGACCAGUCCUGUGACUUACUGAGGGUCCAUUUUAGCUUCCUAUCUCCUGAAGGAAAAGCUCAACAUCUUGGGCAAGUUGGGGUGCCUGCUAAGCUGUGCAGGCUCCGUCGUGCUGAUUAUCCACUCCCCAAAGUCUGAGAGUGUGACGACUCAGGCUGAGCUGGAGGAGAAGCUGACCAAUCCAGUGUUUGUGGGCUACCUGUGCAUCGUGCUGCUCAUGCUGCUGCUG